UGCCAGACUCAUAUCACCCUGCAGUUAUUGCCUGGUUUCCCAGUGAAGCUAAGCAGGGUUGAGCCUGGCCAGUACCUGGGUGGGAGACCUCCUGAGGAAAACUAUGGUUGCUGCUGCAA
rnacentral:rRNA from 1 species